rnacentral:rRNA from 1 species
AAUCAACGCUGGCGGCGUGCCUCAGACAUGCAAGUCGAACGAUUAAAGCUCUCCUCGGAGAGUGCAUAAAGUGGCGCACGGGUGAGUAACACGUAAGUAAUCUACCUUCGAGUGGGGAAUAACGUCCGGAAACGGACGCUAAUACCGCAUAAUGCAGCGGCACCUAAUGGUGACAGUUGUUAAAGAAUUUAUUCGCUUGAAGAGGAGCUUGCGGCAGAUUAGCUAGUUGGUAAGGUAAUGGCUUACCAAGGCUUCGAUCUGUAACCGGUCUAAGAGGACGGUCGGUCACACUGACACUGAAUAACGGGUCAGACUCCUACGGGAGGCAGCAGUCGGGAAUUUUGGGCAAUGGGCGAAAGCCUGACCCAGCAACGCCGCGUGAAGGAUGAAGUAUUUCGGUAUGUAAACUUCGAAAGAAUGGGAAGAAUCAAUGACGGUACCAUUUAUAAGGUCCGGCUAACUACGUGCCAGCCGCCGCUGUAAAAC